GUUGUGCUUAUCCUCUGUGGUACUAUAGUUCAACCAGAGUGGAGAAGGCUGUAAAAUCUCUACUAAAGUGUCUUUCUGGAUGAAAAUAAGAUGACUGGUGGCUGGGGGCUUCUGCAUAACCUCAGAAUGGGAGUCAGUUGUCAGGGGAACAAACCAUGUGAUUAGAGAGUUAGAACUUUCUUUUUUUUUUUCCAUUUAUUUUUAUUAGUUGGAGGCUAAUUACUUUACUCCCUGAUCUCCAGGGAGGGAAAAGAGUGGGCAAGUUAACCACACAUGGCCAAUUUAGUCAAUCAUGCCCAGGUAAGGGAGCCUCCACAAAAGUCCCUGAAGCAUGGGAUUCAGACAGUUUCCAGGUUGGUGAACGCGCGGAGGUUCUGGAAGGUGGAAUGCCUGGAGAAGCUCUGCAUUCCUUGCCCCAUACCGUGCUCUACGUGUCUCUUCCAUGGGUUGUUCCUGAGUUGUAACCUUUUAUAAUCAGCUGGUGAUCUAGAAUUCCUCAAAGGCAUGGACCUUCAGUAAAGUCAAAAGAGGGCAGCAGGGCAGACUCCACUGCUGGAAUUACUGAGCAUUUGUCAAGAGGCAGCCUGUGUGCCACGCUAUGAAUUGCCAAGUUAUACCUCAGAUGUAUUAGAAACGAAGGGUGGAGAAUUCUUCCUAUCCAAGCACAUCAGUAUGUGAUAUCCAUGAUGACAUUUUCCUCUGAAGAUCUGAAUCAGCUAUUCUGAACACUGCAUGAAUGAUGAUACUCAGUGAUUAAGAUGAAGCUUUCAGUGACAUAAAUUCUCACCUCUCCAGGGAAUUUUUAGUAACCUCACUUUAACUCCAAAGAACUAACUCCAAUGCUAAGAAGUUCAAGCAUACCAAUAUGCCAAUAAUGGAACUUUCAGAAGAGGGAGCCGUAUUUAUUCUGCAGCCUGCUCAGGACCUUGAAGAAAAAAAGAACAAGCAGAACUAAGAAGAGGAAUAACACAGGUGCUUAGCCUGAGAAAAAGCUCUGAUGAGGCUAAUCACUAUGCUGGACAUCCCUGUUAAGUGACCUUUCACUCUAUGCUUGAGUUUAUCAUCUCAGUAACAAUGACAUCAACCAUAAUUGCAAUUGCUAACAUUUUAUAAAUUCUUCCCACGUGCAAGCACAAUGCUAGGUAUUACAUCAUGCCAUUUAAAAAUCUUUAUAACACCACCAAGAGGUAGGUAUUUUUAAUCUUAUCUUUUAGCUAAGAACAUUGAUGUGUCCAGAAGUAAAAUAAGUUGCCCAGUGAUAUAACAAAUAGCAGAGUCAGAGUCUAGAUCCAAGUCUACCUAUAGACCUAGUACUCUCACCAGUUCAUUGUCCAGACACUGUUCUAAGCACUAGGGAUAUACGAGGUCCCUACCCUGAAAAAGUUUUUAUUCUAGUUAGGGAAAGAAAAAUAUGUAAUAUUACAUUACAGAGUGAUAGAUGCUAAGAAAAAAUAUUGUUAGGUAAGGAAAAAGAACAUGAUAGGCAUUAGUGAGGAACGAUCUUUCCACAGAUGUUGCCUUUCAUCAGAGGCUUAACCAAAGAGAGCAAGAUGGUCAUGCAAUACCGGAGUUGAGUGGGGCCAGCACCCUGGGAGCAGUGAACAGGCAGGGGAAAAGCCUUUUCACUGUCUCAUUUCCCAAAAUGAAGAACUCAGUAUUCCCAGACACAGACACUUACACUUCUUGGUCUGGGGAAGACCGCCCGCUAUGACCUGAGAACACCCCAGCAUCCCUGUGGGUAGGCGCAUGGGGAAAGGAAUCAUCUUGUCAUCACUAACUUGCUGGCCAUUGGUGAGCAACCGUGGAAGGUGAUCCCUCAUCCUCAGACCAGCUUCAAACACUUGCAGUCAC